UAGGGAAUCUUCCGCAAUGGGCGAAAGCCUGACGGAGCAACGCCGCGUGAGUGAUGAAGGUCUUCGGAUCGUAAAACUCUGUUAUUAGGGAAGAACAAAUGUGUAAGUAACUAUGCACAUCUUGACGGUACCUAAUCAGAAAGCCACGGCUAACUACGUGCCAGCAGCCGCGGUAAUACGUAGGUGGCAAGCGUUAUCCGGUAUUAUUGGGCGUAAAGCGCGCGUAGGCGGUUUUUUAAGUCUGAUGUGAAAGCCCACGGCUCAACCGUGGAGGGUCAUUGGAAACUGGAAAACUUGAGUGCAGAAGAGGAAAGUGGAAUUCCAUGUGUAGCGGUGAAAUGCGAAGAGAUAUGGAGGAACACCAGUGGCGACGGCGACUUUCUGGUCUGUAACUGACGCUGAUGUGCGAAAGCGUGGGGAUCAAACAGG
rnacentral:rRNA from 1 species